UCGCUGGAGUCCACACGAGUUAAGGUGCUUUAACGACAGAGACCACCAUGAAGACCUCGACUCCCCUCUCCUCUCGCUGUGCAAUCAAAGAGUUCUUCUAAAGUGGAUCCAUGUGUGUGUGUGUGUGUGUUAUCUGAGAAAGUGCUGAAGAAUCCAUUUCUAUCAUUCAUGAACUGAUUCUAGUUUCAUUAUUUUAUAUCAUUUACAUUUCUUAGAUCACUUGGAAGUUUUCGUCAGGGGAA